GGUCGCGUGGUCUAAUGGUUAUGACUUUCGCUCACACCGAAAAGGUUCCGAGUUCGAUCCUCGGGUUGACCU
rnacentral:tRNA from 1 species